rnacentral:rRNA from 1 species
GCUGUUUACCAAAAACAUAGCUCCCGGCCAAUAUGAAGAAUAGAAGUAUGGGGGGUGAGGCCUGCCCAAUGGUUGUAACCAAAAGGGGCCGAUUAAAGUCGGCCCCGUAAGGACAAUUCAAUGGCCGCGGUAACACUGACCGUGAUAAUGUANCGUAAUCAACAGCCAAUUAAUUGUUGGCCAGUAUGAAUGGCGCCACGAAGGCCCCGCUGUCCCAAGGAAAUUCCCAGUGAAAUUGAAUUCUUAGUGAAGAUGCUACGACCAACUUGCCAAACGAAAAGACCCCGUCAAGCUUUACUGGCGGCUUGCAUUGCCCGGCCCCCCCCCCCCACCUGUGGUGGGGGGGGGCCGUAAAACCAUGGGCGGCUCAGACCAUGUGGUGACAGAGCCCCCCCGUAUGGGGGCGAUGAGAACCCACUCCCCCAAUGUCGAAGGGGCUAACCCCCCCCUCCCCUGGGGGGGGGACAGUGCAAGCAGGACAGUUUGGUUGGGGCGACCGCCUUUUAAAGGGUAACGAAGGCGCACUUAAGGUCCCGCGGGCAAUAGCGGUGGCCUGACUGCGAGGGGGGUGCGCCCCGAGCAGACACCCGGGGCCCCCCGGGGUUUUGGGGGGCCGGCCGGGUGGGUUAUAGUGACCCGUUAAUUUUAUUGUGGGGAUAGUUAACGAUCAACGGAUAAAAGUUACCGCGGGGAUAACAGCGUAAU